rnacentral:rRNA from 1 species
AAUGAACGCUGGCGGCGCGCCUAAUACAUGCAAGUCGAGCGAGAAGACGUAGCAAUACGUUUGUAAAGCGGCGAACGGGUGAGGAAUACAUGGGUAACCUACCCUAGAGUGGGGAAUAACUAGCCGAAGGUUAGCUAAUACCGCGUACGCUCCCUGGACUUCGGUUCAGGGAGGAAAGCGCUACCGUGGGUAGCGCGCUCUUGGAUGGGCUCAUGUCCUAUCAGCUUGUUGGGAGGUAACGGCUCACCAAGGCUUCGACGGGUAGCUGGUCUGAGAGGACGAUCAGCCACACUGGCACUGCGACACGGGCCAGACUCCUACGGGAGGCAGCAGUAAGGAAUAUUGCGCAAUGGGCGAAAGCCUGACGCAGCGACGCCGCGUGGGGGAGUG